rnacentral:rRNA from 1 species
CCUACGGGUGGCAGCAGUGAGGAAUAUUGGUCAAUGGGCGCGAGCCUGAACCAGCCAAGCAGCGUGAAGGAUGACUGUCCAACGGGUCGUAAACUUCUUUUAUCAAGGAAUAAAGUGAGGCACGCGUGCCUUUUUGUAUGUACUUUAUGAAUAAGCAUCGGCUAACUCCGUGCCAGCAGCCGCGGUAAUACGGAGGAUCCGAGCGUUAUCCGGAUUUAUUGGGUUUAAAGGGUGCGUAGAUGGGUUGUUAAGUCAGGUGUGAAAGUUUGCGGCUCAACUCCGGGACUGCUUUUGAAACUGUAUGGCUAGAGUGCGAGAGAGGCAAGCGGAAUGCCUAGUGUAGCGGUGAAAUGCGUAGAUAUUGGGAAGAACACCAGUGGCGAAGGCAGCUUGCUGGACUGAAAAUGACGCUGAGGCUCGAAAGCGUGGGGAGCGAACAGGAUUAGAUACCCUUGUAGUC